CAUUUUUCAUAUCUUUUUUAACAACAAAAUAAAAAACGGUUAUGUCGAAGACUUACUUCACCGUAAUCCUCUUUGCUCUCUUGAUCACAAUGUCUCAUGUGAAAUGUACGAGAGUGAUGGAAGAUGUUGGAGAGGACAAGUCGAAGAAGAAAUGCACGACCGACAAAGACUGUAGAACUCUUAUAUGCUAUGGCAAUGGACCUAUUUGUGUUAAAGGCUUUUGCACAUGUGACUUUGUUGUCGCGACCUCCGUAGGAUAUUGAGGCCGUUUUGUGUCCUAAUUGCUAUAAAUAAAUAAAUAAAUAAAUAUCGAAUAAAGCUUUAUCAAUUAUAAAUG